UAGGGAAUCUUCGGCAAUGGACGAAAGUCUGACCGAGCAACGCCGCGCGAGUGAAGAAGGUUUUCGGAUCGUAAAACUCUGUUGUUAGAGAAGAACAAGGACGUUAGUAACUGAACGUCCCCUGACGGUAUCUAACCAGAAAGCCACGGCUAACUACGUGCCAGCAGCCGCGGUAAUACGUAGGUGGCAAGCGUUGUCCGGAUUUAUUGGGCGUAAAGCGAGCGCAGGCGGUUUCUUAAGUCUGAUGUGAAAGCCCCCGGCUCAACCGGGGAGGGUCAUUGGAAGCUGGGAGACUUGAGUGCAGAAGAGGGGAGUGGAAUUCCAUGUGUAGCGGUGAAAUGCGUAGAUAUAUGGAGGAACACCAGUGGCGAAGGCGGCUCUCUGGUCUGUAACUGACGCUGAGGCUCGAAAGCGUGGGGAGCAAACAGG
rnacentral:rRNA from 1 species